rnacentral:rRNA from 1 species
UACGAAGGGGACUAGCGUUGCUCGGAAUCACUGGGCGUAAAGGGUGCGUAGGCGGGUUUUUAAGUCAGGGGUGAAAUCCUGGAGCUCAACUCCAGAACUGCCUUUGAUACUGAAGAUCUUGAGUCCGGGAGAGGUGAGUGGAACUGCGAGUGUAGAGGUGAAAUUCGUAGAUAUUCGCAAGAACACCAGUGGCGAAGGCGGCUCACUGGCCCGGUACUGACGCUGAGGUGCGAAAGCGUGGGGAGCAAACAGG